AAAGAGACCCCCAACUGCCACUAUUCACUUCCUCCUCUCACUUCUCUAGAAGUUUCCUGACAGCUUUUCACAACCUCUUUGCAUAGUAUUUGCUGGUGAGAUUCUUACAAAUUUCUGAACUCAGAGCAUGAUUCUGUGUAGGCGAUGCUAUGGGUAUGAUCCCUCAGCAUCUCACCAGCAGUGCAUGUUUCUGACACGCUACUGAUUGGCACUGCACUGUGAGUGAUGAGCAGAAGGCAUUGCUGUGACAAGCUGAAAGAACUCUUGUGGGACAUCUCUGCUUCAUGAACCCAUUUUAUGGCAUCUGGAAAGGAGGUCUGGAAAAAUAGGCUCUGUCCUCAACAUGCCCAUGGGAGUCUUGGCAGCCUCUGCAGCAUUCGUCUCUGAGCUGAGCCUCAGCAGCAGGAAGACUGAAAUUGAAACUAGAGAGGUAGAAUUACUGUUUUCAAUCUGAGACAGUUUUGAACAAGCCCACUUAUGACCUGAUCCCAUUUAUCAGAUUGUUUGUUAAAUUUCACCCUCUUGAGUGGAACAUCCACUCAACAUGAAGUACUUUAUCUCUCAGAGAAACAAAGUCACAAGAUAGGAGAGGGAAUUGAAACAUGGACUGAAAUGUAUGAAGAAUCACCCUGACUCCAUCUUAGGCUUAAAAGCCAUCUUAUAGUAAAGACAAACUAGGUUCAUUCCUGUUUAUGGUCAAACCUGUUUCUCAAGGAUUGGACUUUAUCCCACCUGGAACUUUAACUACAAGUGGUUCUGUAUGUUCCAGAAAUGGCAAUCAUGUCUUUGCUUCAAGAACUGGCUUAUAACCAUCAUAAAACCCGACCUUUGGGGGGGAGGGAAUAAAAAAAAAAAACCUACCUUAGUUUCAACGGGUUAUAUGACCAUCUAUGUCUACAUUGGUAUGACUACCAGUUGCUAUGACUAUCUUGUUAUGUCAUUUAGUAACCAUGAUUUUGUUUCAAUUAAUUACUUGCUUCAAUAAGUUUGGCCAUAAUGAUUUGGGUCAGUGAUUUUUCUCCUUCCAUCUUUGAGAUUAACAUGUGCUAGAGAUAAAAUAAUUAAAACUGCUAAAUGAAAAGUAAUUUCGAUAUGAGAAAGUAUUUCUUUAUAUUAGGAACAGAGUCACACCAUUUAUCUAAAAUGAAAUGGAUUUAAAAAAUAACAAGGUGAAAUGAAAUAGAAACAGAACACUAAGAAACACAUUUUCCUGAAUGAGAUAUGCUUGUGUUUGUCCAAUAAUAAAAACAAAUUCAAAACAGGCACAGAAUAUUAGAACUUUUGUAGGGUUCAGGGUAGAAGCUGAGAAAACUCACCUUAGAGAAAGAAGAUGAAAAAUAAAAGCUUUGUUUUCUGAAUGCUCCAGAAGGCUGCUAAUUCAGGGUCUAAACUACAACUCCGAAGGAAGAUUAUACAACAUUUUAUUGAAUGGAAACACAAAGUGAGGGGGAGCAGGGUAGACUGUUGCAUUGACAAAGCAUAUUUAUACACAAGGAAGUUAACAUUAGUGACUGGGACUUGUCAGGGACACCUGGUUUCAGGGACCUUGAAUCAGUCUUUGCAGCCAGGUCCCCUGUAAGACUUUGGCCCAGAAUUUUACAACAAUAAGGGAACAAUGGAGUGGGCAAGCUGCAUGUAGUCAAUUAAGUCAAGACAAGCAACACAUUUAUCACUUGUGUGCCUUAGUUUAGAUAAUGGAAUAACAGCAUCUUCCUUCUUUACAUCCUGUAAUGGUCCCCUCAGAGGACUGUUAGACUUCACACCACUCAGACUUGUGCAUCCUCUGAGAUUCUCUACCAGCAGCUGACUUAGACAGAUACAGAUACAGCCAACCAUUGGACUGAAGUCAGGGACACCUAUGUACGGGUUCAGGGAAGGAUUAAAGGAGAUGAAGGGGAUAGCAACUCCAUAGGAAGACCAACAGUGUCAAGUAACCUGGCCCGUUAGGACCAAAGACUAAGCCACCAACCAAAGAGAAUACAUAGGCUUGUCCAUGGCCCCCAGGACAUAAGUAGCAGAGGACUUCUUUGUCUGAUCUCAGUGGAAGAGGAUACAUCUAAUCCUGUAGAGAUCUAAUUCCCCAGAGAAUGGGUGGGGUAGGAUGGGGAUGGGUGAGGGGAUGGUGGUGAGGAGAACAUUCCCUCAGAAGUAAAGGGGAGGGGGUAUGGAGUGAAGAACUCUGGAAAGGCGAACCAUGAGGAGACAGCAUUUGGAAUGC
ensembl:antisense